rnacentral:lncRNA from 1 species
UAUUUACACAUGUGGAUUCUAUAUUUCUUACAAGCCCGCAAGCAACAGGUUGUGCUUGUCUGGUCAACACACUACUGCACAGCCAGGGUUUCCAGGACCCUAUGAAGUUUUUAUUAUUCUCAAGAAAAUGAGAUUAAGUACAUCUUUGUGCACAACCAUGUGCUGGUUAUUAUUCUCUCUCAGAACUUAUGAGUUAAGCAUACAAACAACAAUGUAGAACAACACACAAAAUGCUCACAAACAGUAGUUUAUUUUAAUUGAACUAUAAAAGCAUUGAACUAAUUCCUAGCCAAACAAAUAAAGGAUAAUUAAGCCAGCAGCCUAAAGCACCUUGCUCUACUGUUAAUGGUAUUUAUGAGUUUAUAACAGUAGUCUGCAGCAUUGGCUAUGCAUUAGAAACAAUAUUUUAUAAAUAAUUAGUCCCACUGGGUAUCACUUCCAGAGGAUUCUGAUUCAGUUGACCUGAGUUGGGACCUGGUACUCUAGUUUCUGGAAGCUUUAUAGGUGAUUAUGAUGCAUAAUUGGGAUUGAAAAUCACUUGUGUAGAGUUCACAGAUGUAUCUAGUUUGAUUGUUAAUCCUAUGAAGUCCUACAGAAGUAAGGAAAUGAUGCUCAGAGAAGAACCCUCUGGAACCAGGCCCAUAGCUGAUGAAAGGCAAAGCAGAACUUCAAUCCCAGGUCUCUUGACUCUAGAACAUACAACCCCACCUGCCUUCCCUCACCCGUUCCCUUGAAGCUAUGUCAUGGAUUUGUUUCAUCCCGAGAGUCAAAUCACACUACAGGAUACUUGUAGUGUCUAGUCUUGAACAAGUAUAAUACAUCCCAAUUCAUGUCACUUUUGAGCCUUUCCUUACCUGAGGUGAAAAUGCAAAAGCCAUUCUUGGGAGGUGUUGUAGGGAACAGAUAAAUAUUAAGACACAAAUCACCAUCCUCCACCUUGUCAAAUCAUGAACACAGCCCAGGAGGGGAGGUAAGGCUUGUAUACAGCUGUCAUGUAGUUGACCAGUGUAUGACUGCAAGUGCACUUGUAAUUGACAGCAGAGAACCAAGAAGCUUGAAGGCCUCAUGGAGGAGGUGGCAUUUGCACCAUCCUUAGAAUUGGCAUUUUGGCAGGUGGGAAUUUGGAAAGCAAAGGAAUUUUACUAGAUGCAAGGUUCUGUUAAAGACUCAAGAUAAGACACAUAAAUGGGAGGCAGCGGAGGCAUGGGGAAUUUCCAAAUUGGGCAGUGCCAUGAUCAGAACUGCUCCAGGAAGAAGAUUAGAAGAUGGAACUGAGUGAAGACUGGAGUUGGGGAUACCAGAAGAGCCUAGAAGGGCAGAGGAAGAGAGGUGACAUGGUGGCAGAGUAUAUUUGAGUUGUCAACAGUCUGCAGUGUCAGGUCAAUUACAUCAGCACUUGGUGUGGACCAGAGGAAAGGAAUGAUUCUGCCUCCUGGGAAUGUCAGAAGGACCUGAUAAUUAUAUUUGGCAAAGCCACAAGGAGUGGCUCUGUAAUGUCAUUGCUAAGAAUUGCCCUUUUAAUAGCAUUUCUGGAUGUCAGAGCUUUCCAGAUGAAUGGCACUUCAUUUGUGCUAUGGCUUUCCUUUUUUCUGGGCUGCUUUCCCAGCUGAGCCUCUUGUUCUUCCUUGCUCUUGCUUUGAUAUUAGUUUAUAUUUUCUCUUCUGUCUUCUUUCCUGGCCCAGUUUCUCCAUCCCCUCCUUCCUGCACUCACAGCAGCUUCCACUCUACCCUGGUUGGAGGUGGAAGCAUGUGUGAAUGUGAGAGGGGAAUGCUUGCCAAAGGACAGUGUCUUCAGCCUCUGGUCUCAACAAGGUAGUGCUUCAGCCUUAACUCACCACACUGUGGAUGACUUGCUUCCAUGCUAUGCCUGCUACUUUUGUGUUAGUGGAACUCAGAAGACAUAGGAAAGAUUAUCAGUAUCUGUGACUGCAAUAAAUUCUUUUCCCAAUUGUGCCAUAUAUUAUGCCCUUCAUCACAAUUUACUAAUCUCUGCCUCAGUUUUUCCAUUUGUGAAAGCUCUAUAACAC